rnacentral:misc_RNA from 1 species
CCAAACUUGGUCAUUUAGAGGAAGUAAAAGUCGUAACAAGGUUUCCGUAGGUGAACCUGCGGAAGGAUCAUUAUUGAAGUCGCUGAGAGGUUUGCUGCUGGCCUUCCGGGGCAUACUGUGCACGGCCUCUCUCACUUUAUCAACCACCUGUGAACCAUUUGUAGUCUUUCAGAUGCUUUUCUUCAGUCUUAAUCAGACUGAUGUGGGGACUCUAGUUGUAUAUAUGUGUGUCACUCAAGCGGCGGCACAUCAUCAGCUUCAGUUCAAUAUCUGACAAGGCUAUCUUUUACAUAUAACAUUGUCAAUGUCUAAGAAUGUGUAUCACGGUCAUUGAGUUGGCCUUAAUAUAUAUACAACUUUCAACAACGGAUCUCUUGGCUCUCGCAUCGAUGAAGAACGCAGC